UACGUAGGGGGCAAGCGUUGUCCGGAUUUAUUGGGCGUAAAGAGCGUGUAGGCGGUUAGGUAGGUCCGUUGUGAAAACUCGAGGCUCAACCUCGAGACGCCGAUGGAAACCAUCUGACUAGAGUCCGGAAGAGGGGAGUGAAUUCCUGGUGUAGCGGUGAAAUGCGCAGAUAUCAGGAAGAACACCCGUGGCUAAGGCGGCUCUCUAGUACGGUACUGACGCUGAGACGCGAAAGCGUGGGAGCGAACAGG
rnacentral:rRNA from 1 species